rnacentral:rRNA from 1 species
UACGGAGGGUGCAAGCGUUGUUCGGAAUUACUGGGCGUAAAGCGCGCGUAGGCGGUUUGCUAAGUCAGAUGUGAAAGCCCAUGGCUCAGCCAUGGACGUGCAUUUGAAACUGGCAGACUUGAGUAUUGGAGGGGGUGGUGGAAUUCCCGGUGUAGAGGUGAAAUUCGUAGAUAUCGGGAGGAAUACCGGUGGCGAAGGCGACCACCUGGCCAAAUACUGACGCUCAUGUGCGAAAGCGUGGGGAGCAAACAGG